AUUGAACGCUGGCGGCAUGCCUUACACAUGCAAGUCGAACGGCAGCACGGAGCUUGCUCUGGUGGCGAGUGGCGAACGGGUGAGUAAUAUAUCGGAACGUACCCUAGAGUGGGGGAUAACGUAGCGAAAGUUACGCUAAUACCGCAUACGAUCUAAGGAUGAAAGUGGGGGAUCGCAAGACCUCAUGCUCGUGGAGCGGCCGAUAUCUGAUUAGCUAGUUGGUAGGGUAAAAGCCUACCAAGGCAUCGAUCAGUAGCUGGUCUGAGAGGACGACCAGCCACACUGGAACUGAGACACGGUCCAGACUCCUACGGGAGGCAGCAGUGGGGAAUUUUGGACAAUGGGCGAAAGCCUGAUCCAGCAAUGCCGCGUGAGUGAAGAAGGCCUUCGGGUUGUAAAGCUCUUUUGUCAGGGAAGAAACGGUGAAAGCUAAUAUCUUUUGCUAAUGACGGUACCUGAAGAAUAAGCACCGGCUAACUACGUGCCAGCAGCCGCGGUAAUACGUAGGGUGCAAGCGUUAAUCGGAAUUACUGGGCGUAAAGCGUGCGCAGGCGGUUUUGUAAGUCUGAUGUGAAAUCCCCGGGCUCAACCUGGGAAUUGCAUUGGAGACUGCAAGGCUAGAAUCUGGCAGAGGGGGGUAGAAUUCCACGUGUAGCAGUGAAAUGCGUAGAUAUGUGGAGGAACACCGAUGGCGAAGGCAGCCCCCUGGGUCAAGAUUGACGCUCAUGCACGAAAGCGUGGGGAGCAAACAGGAUUAGAUACCCUGGUAGUCCACGCCCUAAACGAUGUCUACUAGUUGUCGGGUCUUAAUUGACUUGGUAACGCAGCUAACGCGUGAAGUAGACCGCCUGGGGAGUACGGUCGCAAGAUUAAAACUCAAAGGAAUUGACGGGGACCCGCACAAGCGGUGGAUGAUGUGGAUUAAUUCGAUGCAACGCGAAAAACCUUACCUACCCUUGACAUGGCUGGAAUCCUUGAGAGAUCAGGGAGUGCUCGAAAGAGAACCAGUACACAGGUGCUGCAUGGCUGUCGUCAGCUCGUGUCGUGAGAUGUUGGGUUAAGUCCCGCAACGAGCGCAACCCUUGUCAUUAGUUGCUACGAAAGGGCACUCUAAUGAGACUGCCGGUGACAAACCGGAGGAAGGUGGGGAUGACGUCAAGUCCUCAUGGCCCUUAUGGGUAGGGCUUCACACGUCAUACAAUGGUACAUACAGAGCGCCGCCAACCCGCGAGGGGGAGCUAAUCGCAGAAAGUGUAUCGUAGUCCGGAUUGUAGUCUGCAACUCGACUGCAUGAAGUUGGAAUCGCUAGUAAUCGCGGAUCAGCAUGUCGCGGUGAAUACGUUCCCGGGUUU
rnacentral:rRNA from 1 species